GGAGGUCUCAUGCUCUGGAGAAAAGGCAGAGAUUGGAGGUACUACAGGAAUGCCAGUCUGAGUAUGUUGCUGAAGAGGAAAGCGAUGACUUUCCUGAGGGGGACCCAUCUACUGAUGUGAAUUCAACAGAAGAUCAGCACAGUGACUUUUCCGUUCAGGUGUGUCUGAGGCCACCAACAAGGACGGUGGCUAUGCAGUUCAAAGGAAGGGGACGGACUAAAGGUGUGCAGGCUACUACAUCAAUGGUCACUGUUGGGACUCAGACUGAGGAUGACUGCUUUUGCUUUCACAACACCGACAACUCAACCUCUUGUGGCUCUGACUCAGAUGACAACAUGUCGACAGAUGAUCCCGACUACAAGCUGCCGUCCUCUGAUGAUUCAGCUGAAGAGAGUCCUGAACACAAUACUCCACCAGUGCCGCCACCUGAGGCGCCAGCAGGUAGCGUUUUUCUUGUGUUCUGGGAAUGCCUGGUGACGCUGUUGUCAACAUGGUGCAGCUGUGGACUUUGUGGGAG